CUCCUGCAGCCCAUUUUUGAGGCCAGUGGUGAACUCUGCGAGUUGGCAGGCGUCAUCGGCGGCCCGCCAUCUGCGGGACAAGGAGGAGAUGGAUGUGUCCAGG